rnacentral:rRNA from 1 species
GACGAAGCGUGCGAACGUUGUUCGGAAUCACUGGGCUUAAAGGGCGCGUAGGCGGGUCGGCAAGUCCGGGGUGAAAGCCCCCAGCUCAACUGGGGAAGGGCCUUGGAAACUGCCGGUCUCGAGGGAGGUAGGGGCCUGUGGAACUUCGGGUGGAGCGGUGAAAUGCGUUGAUAUCCGAAGGAACGCCGGUGGCGAAAGCGACGGGCUGGAUCUCUUCUGACGCUGAGGCGCGAAAGCUAGGGUAGCGAACGGG